GACGAACGCUGGCGGCGUGCUUAACACAUGCAAGUCGAACGGAAAGGCCCUGCUUUUGUGGGGUGCUCGAGUGGCGAACGGGUGAGUAACACGUGAGUAACCUGCCCUUGACUUUGGGAUAACUUCAGGAAACUGGGGCUAAUACCGGAUAGGAGCUCCUGCUGCAUGUUGGGGGUUGGAAAGAUUCGGUGGUUGGGGAUGGACUCGCGGCGUAUCAGCUUGUUGGUGGGGUAGUGGCUUACCAAGGGUUUGACGGGUAGCCGGCGUGAGAGGGUGACAGGCCACACUGGAACGGAGACGGGGUCCAGACUCCUACGGGAGGGAGCAGUAGGGAAUCGUCCGCAAUGGGCGGAAGCCUGAAGGAGCAACGCCGCGUGAGUGAUGAAGGUCUUCGGAUCGUAAAACUCUGUUAUGAGGGAAGAACAAAUGUGUAAGGAACUAUGCACGUCUUGACGGUACCUAAGCAGAAAGCCACGGCUAACUACGUG
rnacentral:rRNA from 1 species